UCUUCAAAGCAAGGAAGCAUGCUCGAAGAAGUGGUUGAUAGUGGUCAAAAUAUAAUCUUUUUUGUGUAAACCGUUAUCUCCCCCAAAAAUGGGAAAGAUAAAAAAUACAAAACCCAGUGAAAAUGGAUGGAAAAAGCCGAGACAGAAGCGGGAGAAAAUCGACAAAAGUAUUGAAAACAAACUAAAAUCUGAAAAAAGAAAACACGUAUGUGCAGUUUGUUCCAAAUGUUUCGAUCGGCCAUCACACUUACGCCGUCACGAACGUGUUCACAGCGGAGAACGACCGUUCUCCUGUGAUAUUUGUGAGAAGACGUUCAAAGACAAAUCUCAUCUUGCCACACACAAGGAAACACAUAAUCCUGCUCGCGAUUAUAUAUGUGCUGAUUGUGGAAAGGAUUUCCAUACUGCAUCAACUUUGUACAGUCACCGGAUUACACACGAGACAAAUCCAGAAAAAAUAAAGAAACAUCAGUGUGAAACAUGUCUUAAAGUAUUUUUAAAGCGAUGUGACCUAACAAGACACGAACGAGUUCACACUAAUGAACGACCUUUCAAAUGUGAGUAUUGUGAAAAAAGUUUCAAGAUCUUGUCACAUGCCAAACGACACGAAAGAAUUCACACAAAUGAACGACCAUAUCAAUGUUCAGACUGUAAAAAAAGAUUCAAGCAAUCGGUUGCAUUAACACAACAUCAACGGAUUCAUUCUGGUGAAAAACCACAUGUGUGCACUUACUGCAAGAAAGCUUUUACUCAACUAACACAUUUGAUCAAUCACGAGAGAACUCACACUGGUGAAUGUCCUUUCAUUUGCCAAGUUUGUCAACGUGCCUUCAAACAAGCAUCUGGCUUGUUAUCCCAUGUGAAGACACAUAGCAUUGUAAAGGAUUAUGAGUGUGAGUUCUGCUCUAAAUCAUUUGCAAGUGAGAAAGCGCUAUUGAAUCACGAGCUUAUCCAUUCGGAAGAAAAGAAGCACAAAUGUGUAAAAUGUGAUAAGGCUUUUGCUCGUGAAGCAAAUCUUAUGAUCCACAUGAAAACCCAUGAAGAAGAACCAAAACCAUAUUCUUGCUCUGUUUGUCGAAAAAGUUUUGAAUCAGAAGUGAUGUUGUUAGCUCACAAAGCUUUAUGCUUGUCUGGAAAGCCUUUCAGAUUCAUGGCGUAUGAUCAAAUAUUUCCACAAAGUAUUGAGAGCACUAACUUGGAGGUGACUGAAAACACUGAAACAACGGAGGUUGUUGUAACUAUAGAAGAAUCAACUGGUGCUAUUAACCAAGUUGAGAUUACUACAUUUAACUGAAUGCAAUAACAAAGUAAACUUGAUACAUUGUUACUUUUAUAUUGUCAAUGCAAUAUUUAAUGACAAAAAGUAAUGAGUUCAGUGGCUGAUAAGCUUUCUUUAAGCAGCUAAAAUUUCAGUGGUUUUGGUGCAUCAAAAAAUUAAAAAAAACCCAUCUAACUUUUGAAAUUUUUCCCUUUAAAACUUUGAAUGAGUUAAGAUAAAGUAAGCAGUUGGACUUGAGUGACAAAUCCCGGGGAUACAAUCUCGCAUGUACUUUAAUGAAUAUGGCGUCACGAAAUGGACUUCGUAAAAGCGAGGAAGAAAAUCUGUUAGCUGAAAAUGAUCGGAUGUUAGAUAAUUUAGCGGGAAAAGUGUCAAGACUAAAAGCUAUUGCUGUUGAUAUUAAACAUGAUGCAGACAAUCAAAAUAAAUAUUUGGAUGGAAUGGAUGACCAAUUUAAUGGUGCAGGUGGUUUAUUGAAUGGCAGCUCUCAACGAUUACAGCAAGUUAUCAAAUCAGCAAGAUCAGACAGAAAAUGCAUGUGUUACAUGAUCCUUGGACUAGUGACAACAUUCUUUGUAUUUUACUACGGUUUAUCUUGGAUUAAAACAUGAUAUAUUUAUAUUUCAAAUCCCCAAAA